GAUGAACGCUGGCGGCGUGCCUAAUACAUGCAAGUCGAGCGAACAGACGAGGAGCUUGCUCCUUUGACGUUAGCGGCGGACGGGUGAGUAACACGUAGGUAACCUACCUAUAAGACUGGGAUAACUUCGGGAAACCGGAGCUAAUACCGGAUAAUAUUUCGAACCGCAUGGUUCGAUAGUGAAAGAUGGCUUUGCUAUCACUUAUAGAUGGACCUGCGCCGUAUUAGCUAGUUGGUAAGGUAACGGCUUACCAAGGCAACGAUACGUAGCCGACCUGAGAGGGGGAACGGCCCCACGGGAACGGAGAACCGGCCCAGACCCCAAGGGGGGGCCGGAGGAGGGAAUUUUCCGAAAUGGGGGAAAGCCGGACGGGGCACCGCCGCGGGAGUGAAGAAGGUCUUCGGAUCGUAAAACUCUGUUAUUAGGGAAGAAAAAACGGUUAAGUAACUGUGCACGUCUGGACGGUACCUAAACAGAAAGCCCCGGCUAACUACGG
rnacentral:rRNA from 1 species